GGUUCCUUCUGCACUGUACGGGGGGUACUCCUGGGGGAGAGGGUCGGGUUCGUUUCAAAAAAAGGAAAGGGUUGAUGUCCUGGGUGAAAGUUCCGGCGCUUAAGGAUCGUUCUGUGGCCUAUCAGGUAGUAGUGGGUGUAAAGAACCCUUUCUCCUUCGACGGGUAUGGGCCUUGAGAGAGGGAGCCUAUAUUUUGAUUCUGAGACACGAAUCCUGGCCCCCCCACAAACACAAAGGGAAAACUUCCACUGGGGGAUAUCCCUCCUAUGGAAUGGGGGGGGGGGCGCCUCUCCUAAAGUUUUCUCUAUCUUUUUUUUCGGGGAAGAGGGGUGGGGAGGACGCCCCCCCCCCCGCGGAAUACUGUAGCCCGAGGGGAGCGAGUAAAGAGUCUAAAGCGUUCUAAGCCGGUCCGUUUAAUUCUUGGGGGUAAUUCGGGAAGCUCACUUUUCGGAUUUCCGAGGGACAUAGGGUAAUUGGAUCGUGGAGAGGCAAGUGUAUUUCUGGGGAGAGGAAAAACCGGGAUCCUAGAUAGACCCCGGUGUGGGGAAGCUGUUGGGGUA
rnacentral:rRNA from 1 species